GAUGAAGAACGCAGCGAAAUGCGAUAAGUAAUGUGAAUUGCAGAAUUCAGUGAAUCAUCGAAUCUUUGAACGCACCUUGCGCCCUUUGGCCAUUCCGAAGGGCAUGCCUGUUUGAGUAUCAUGAACACCUCAACUCUUUAUGGUUUUCCAUGAUGAGCUUGGACUCUGGGGGUUUUGCUGGCUCACAGUCGGCUCCUCUAAAAUGAAUCAGCUUACCAGUGUUUGGUGGGUAUCAUGGGUGUGAUAACUAUCUACGCUUGUGGUUUUUCCACCAGGUAACCUUCAGCAGUGGAGGUUCACUGGAGCUCAUAGAUGUCUCUCCUCAGUGAGGACAGCCCUUUGAAUGUUUGAUCUCAAAUCAGGUAGGACUACCCGCUGAACUUAAGCAUAUCAAUAAGCGGAGGA
rnacentral:misc_RNA from 1 species